UGAGAUCAGUGGGUCUGCGCUCGCGUCCGAGAACUAAUGCGCUGGUCUGAGGUCAGUGGAUCUGCGCUCGCAUCCGAGAACUAAUGCGCUGGUCUGAGGUCAGUGGGUCUGCGCUCGCGUCCGAGAACUAAUGCGCUGGUCUGAGGUCAGUGGAUCUGCGCUCGCGUCCGAGAACUAAUGCGCUGGUCUGAGGUCAGUGCGUCUGCGCUCGCGUCUGAGAACUAAUGCGCUGGUCUGAGGUCAGUGGGUCUGCGCUCGCGUCUGAGAACUGAGGCGCUGGUCUGAGGUCAGUGGGUCUGCGCUCGCGUCCGAGAACUGAGGCGCUGGUCUGAGGUCAGUGGAUCUGCGCUCGCGUCCGAGAACUAAUGCGCUGGUCUGAGGUCAGUGGGUCUGCGCUCGCGUCUGAGAACUAAUGCGCUGGUCUGAGGUCAGUGGGUCUGCGCUCGCGUCCGAGAACUAAUGCGCUGGUCUGAGGUCAGUGGGUCUGCGCUCGCGUCCGAGAACUAAUGCGCUGGUCUGAGGUCAGUGGAUCUGCGCUCGCGUCCGAGAACUAAUGCGCUGGUCUGAGGUCAGUGGAUCUGCGCUCGCGUCCGAGAACUAAUGCGCUGGUCUGAGGUCAGUGGGUCUGCGCUCGCGUCCGAGAACUAAUGCGCUGGUCUGAGGUCAGUGGGUCUGCGCUCGCGUCCGAGAACUAAUGCGCUGGUCUGAGGUCAGUGGAUCUGCGUCUGCGCUCGCGUCUGAGAACUAAUGCGCUGGUCUGAGGUCAGUGGGUCUGCGCUCGCGUCCGAGAACUAAUGCGCUGGUCUGAGGUCAGUGGGUCUGCGCUCGCGUCCGAGAACUAAUGCGCUGGUCUGAGGUCAGUGGGUCUGCGCUCGCGUCCGAGAACUAAUGCGCUGGUCUGAGGUCAGUGGAUCUGCGCUCGCGUCCGAGAACUAAUGCGCUGGUCUGAGGUCAGUGGGUCUGCGCUCGCGUCCGAGAACUAAUGCGCUGGUCUGAGGUCAGUGGGUCUGCGCUCGCGUCCGAGAACUAAUGCGCUGGUCUGAGGUCAGUGGAUCUGCGCUCGCGUCCGAGAACUAAUGCGCUGGUCUGAGGUCAGUGGAUCUGCGCUCGCGUCCGAGAACUAAUGCGCUGGUCUGAGGUCAGUGGAUCUGCGCUCGCGUCCGAGAACUAAUGCGCUGGUCUGACGUCAGUGGGUCUGCGCUCGCGUCCGAGAA